rnacentral:rRNA from 1 species
AACGAACGCUGGCGGCAGGCCUAACACAUGCAAGUCGAACGCACCGCAAGGUGAGUGGCGCACGGGUGAGUAACACGUGGGAAUGUACCCUUUGGUUCGGAAUAACGUUUGGAAACGAACGCUAAUACCGGAUGAGCCCUGUGGGGGAAAGAUUUAUCGCCAAAGGAGCAGCCCGCGUCUGAUUAGCUAGUUGGUGGGGUAAAGCCUACCAAGGCGACGAUCAGUAGCUGGUCUGAGAGGAUGAUCAGCCACACUGGGACUGAGACACGGCCCAGACUCCUACGGGAGGCAGCAGUGGGGAAUAUUGGACAAUGGGCGGAAGCCUGAUCCAGCCAUGCCGCGUGAGUGAUGAAGGCCUCGGUUGUAAAGCUCUUUCGCACGCGACGAUGAUGACGGUAGCGUGAGAAGAAGCCCCGGCUAACUUCGUGCCAGCAGCCGCGGUAAU